rnacentral:lncRNA from 1 species
AGAUGUGAGAAUAUACAUACAAGGCUUACAAGAUCCACACCCCUGGACGAUGUGGGAUCUUAGAGUUUAUAUCAUUGAACUACAUUACAAAAUGAACCCCACAAAACAUGUCUCAAAAAUAUGUAUUAAAAACGUGUAUUUCUAAAUUCUAACCCUACAUAUACAGCUGGGAAUGCAUCCGACCAUGCUGUCCACUAGUCCAGAUACGCACAAGUAUGACCUAUUCUUCGUAAAUACAUAUAAGAUUAUAAGAGGAAGCUUAUCGGCAAAUAUUGUAAUCAACAACCAAUUACUAGCUAGCUUUUGUAGGCUUGGACCAUAAACAAAAUGAUUGAAUGAAAUGGACAUUAUUUUGGUGAGCAAGAUUCGGCCCUCCAUCGACUUCCUCUUUUUCAUGCGUGAUUGUGAAAGCAAAGCAAUUAGUAAAUCUACUUCCUAAUUAAUCCUUAAUUUAACAUUCAUGGCAAAUCAUCUUCAUUCUAAUCAGUAUCCCCUGGAGUUUCAGGGCAAGAUAUUGGAGAAAGUGAUAUCUUCUACAUAUAUAAUUUUUAGCACAUAUAUCAUAAUAUAUGUUUGUCUUUUGCUAUGACGCACAGGGUAAUAUAUAAUUGAAUGUUGAUAGGUACAACCAAACACCGUGAAAAGAAAGGAAAAACAAAUAUAAAGUGUCUUGUUUAUUUUUGUUACGCAUCUGUGUAAUAGAAAAAUGUAUUCAGUUGUCUUAUUUGUAUUUAUAAAUAAAAAUUCUCAUAAGUAACGUUCUUUUAUAUCAUAUUGAUUAUUUAAAUUUUUUACAGAAGAUAUAAUAAUUUCUAUUCCUUCAUAAUAAAAAAUUUAUUUUCUUUAAAGUGGUUAAUAUUUUUUUCAAGGAAUGAUUAGACAAAAAACUUUUCUUUUUCUUUUACAAAGAUAAAAAAAAGUUUAAAUUCGAUAAUUAAUAUGAUUAGUGGAUGCUUACAUGUCCCACAUCCACACGUUAAUAAAAAAGGUAUGCAGCUAUUGUGCCCCCCAACUUUUGUGGUCGGCCUCCACUUCUCCAAACUUCAAACUUCAAACUUCAAACUUCAAAUUUCAAACUGAUUCGAAAUGAUCGAGAUCGUUUUGGAUCGCGCAGUAGUUCUCCAUAUAUUUUUCUGUGUAAGCUUUUUCUUUGAAAAUUUGAGUCUGAGAUCACAUUUUUGUCCUCUUUUUCUACAAUUUUAAUCUCUUCUUCUGUGCCUUUUUUUGUACACAUGUGGAUGAUAUAACUCUCUCCUCAAUUUUAAUGCAUUUUUAUAAAACCGUCAUGCAAUGUAAUGUUAUUUUUCCUAACAAACUAAAUAAAAUACUUAUAUAUGUUAUUUUUUAUAAUAUCUUGAAAGUGUGACAAACUAUGUCACUCACUUAUAUUAUAACAUGUAAAAUGCAUGAUACACUAGGUAUUAAUGUUUUGUGUACAUAAAAAAUUUGCUGACUGAUUGAAUUCUACAUAGUUAUGUAACAAGCAUGUACACUUAAAAUCUAGCUAAUAUGUAUGUAACUUGAAAUAAUGCAAUAUCUAUACUUAAAACCUAGUGUAUAUUUACAUAGAUCUGCCCGUAAAAUGUCUUAUCAAUAGACAAGAGAUAUACGAUCAAAUUUGAUAAUUUGAGAGUUAAUUUCUUCCUUGAGAUACAAGAUAAAGUCAAAGGCUUUAAAGAGAUAUCUAUAGUAUAUAGGAAAUCUUAAGUUCAGUUUUGAUAAAUGGAUUAUGUUGUUUAGUUUUUUGGUUUUUUAGCCGAAACAGUUUUUUAGAUUGACAUAACUCUUCCAUUUACUCCCUGACAAUGAAAAUUCAUUGAACUGAUCCUAAGUUUGUGCACAUGAAAAAUCUUAUCUCAUUAACCAUUUUUGCUAAAAAGCUUUACUUUUUUUUUUUUUUAAAUUCUUUCUUUUCUCUCCUUUUGGUUUUGUUUUUUCUAAUGCUUUCAUAAGUGAAAAACAAAUGUGGCUCACCAAUAAGAAGAAAAACUCAGGAUUCAAGUUUUAGUCAGUUCCAAAAUCGUUGUCUCUGGUUUAAUUUGUUAGCCUGUAUAUGGGAACACAAUAUUUUAUAACAAGUCAAUAUACCGAUUUUUAUAUUCAUACAUGUAAUUGUUUAUUUAUAUAAAUAAAAAUAUACAAUAUCAACCCAAAAAAUAAAAAACAAUAUACUUGAGAUUUGGCACUUUUCUUCCAAAGUCUAUUGAGGUUGGAUAAAACGUCCAUGUUGGAAGGUGUGGUGCAUCCUUUCAAGUUUCCAAGUUAACCAGAAAACAAAAACAAUUCAGUACCAAACGGAUAAAUAAUAUCUCAAGUUCUUGUCUUCUAUACGUGUAUAAUACAAUGAUGUAUUGGACUGUAAGUCAAAUUACUUGUCUUUCGAUAAAUUUCAACCAAAUACUUGCAUAUACAUUGUUUCCAGAAGCGGAUGCACAUUGGAACCUAGAUGGUUUUAGGAUCACCCGGAGUUCAAAAAAUAUAGGAAUGAAGAUCUUCCGAGGACCAUCCAAUUGUUUUGUAUAGGUUCUUUUGUACCUACUAAGUGUUUGAUGUGAUUCCUUCUAGGUGUAUCUUGACAGGUGCGAGACAACACUCGAUACUCUCGAUAUCAUUCAUCAAGUGUUCGACAAAAUGCCUCAGUGAAAAAUGAAAUUUUUGUGCACGCUCCACAUCAUGUUCCUAUCUAAAAAAACUUAGACAUUUUAACAAUGAGACCACCCAAAAUUCGAAUUUGGAUCCACCAGUGAUUGUAUCCAAAGAAAAACAAAUAUACUUACUUAAAAAAGGUACAGGGAGCUUAAGGGGAGGGAUCCCCAUUUUUAAAAAAAAAAUGGGGACACGCUCCCCCACCGUUAGAUUGACUUUAAUGAAAUUGUGUGGUUGAGAUUAAAACACAGGCCAUAGAAUCUCAACCACAUGAUUUCAUUUAAUUCAAAUCCAACGGUGGGGAGCGUGUCCCCAUUUUUUUGAAAAAAUGGGGAUCCCUCCCCUUAAGCAAUUCCAAAAAAGGUAUAUAUUAUAUAUUAUCACAUUCGCAUGCAUAUUCUUAAAAAUAGUUACAUGCAUAUAUAUAUAUGUGUGUAUGUAUAAAAUGAAGGUAACAAAUACAUGUAUGUAAAUCUGAUGUUGGAAUUGAAACAAGUAAACAUGAUAAAUACCACAAGAGCAGUACGAAUACCUUAGAUUUGGUUGCUUAUAUAUAUAUGCUACGUACGUAUGUAUGAGCAUGAUCAACUCUUUUGUUUUUUAAGACUUAAAAAGUCAUUAAUCAUUUAAGACGAGAAAAUCAUAGAUAAAGAAUACAAUUCAACGAUCACAAACGUAAUUGAAGGAAAAUAUAAAAUUCAGCCACAUAAUCAAAACCGAGAAGAUAACGCUCAACUAUUUUUUUGUGGUUGCUUCUAUCAAAAUACAUGAAAUUUACUGGUUUAGUAUAUUUUUCUUCACUUGUAAGUGAAAAGUUUUAAAUUCAAUUAUCGCUAAAAUGAAUUCGAACCAAAUUUACUGUCUAGCUUAUUGUGAGGUUUAACUCAUUCUCUCACUCCUUAGUGUAUUUAAAAUCAUGUAUAUUAAAAAAUAAAUUAUAUAAAACCUUCGACCAUUCAUGUAUUGCCAUGUGAAACUAUAUUUAAUGUUAAGUCACUGAUUGAUACAGACUAAUUCAUCAAUAAGGUAGAUACCUAAUUAAAGGUUGAAAACUACCCAUCUUUAAAGCAUUGCGUCUUGAUUAACAUGUGUGAUGCAUGAUUAAAUUUGUCAUGAGGUAUCAUUAUUUGAUUGCUAAACUACAUAUUAUGACAUGUUCUGAUUUGUUUUGAGGUAUGUUUGAUUUUCAGUUUCCAAUUAGUGAUCAUAGGUUAGCUUUCACUCAGCCGAUGUAGUAACAAUGUAAUGUGACUUGUAGAUUAGCUAAUUUUGUUGAUGAGAAGCAAAUUAGCCAAAUGUUUUAUAUCAAAUAUUUAUUAAUUAUAUUGAGUGGUUUCACGUCUAUCUAAUUUAACUUGGGCAAUUUUAAUUCAUUACAGUCACGUUUUACAUAUUAUAACAAUCACAUUUAAGUUUUGUACCUUGUUUUAUUUUAUAAAAAAUUUAAUAUUAUUUCUAAUAUUUGUUU